rnacentral:rRNA from 1 species
GAUGAACGCUAGCGGCAGGCUUAACACAUGCAAGUCGAGGGGCAACACGGGUAGCAAUACCUGGUGGCGACCGGCGCAAGGGUGCGUAACGCGUGAGCAACAUGCCCUAUACAGGGGGAUAAUCCAGGGAAACUUGGUCUAAUAUCCCAUAGUAUUUAGAGGUGGCAUCACCACUAAAUUAAAGCUUCGGUGGUAUAGGAUUGGCUCGCGUGACAUUAGCUGGAUGGUGGGGUAACGGCUCACCAUGGCGAUGAUGUCUAGGGGUUCUGAGAGGAAGACCCCCCACACUGGGACUGAGACACGGCCCAGACUCCUACGGGAGGCAGCAGUGAGGAAUAUUGGACAAUGGAUGGAAAUCUGAUCCAGCCAUCCCGCGUGCAGGAAGACGGCCCUAUGGGUUGUAAACUGCUUUUCCAGGGAGAGAAACUUACGCACGUGUUGCGUGACUGACGGUACCCUGGGAAUAAGCAUCGGCUAACUCCGUG